CACUGUUACUUUUUUCAACAUGCUAAGCAUCUAGAACAUUGUCUAGAUGCCACUAAAGAUGGACUCUUCCCUAGGCUUCGGGACUGUGAUACUCCUCAUACUCGCAAGAACCCAUGGAGACUCAGUGACACAGACGGAAGGUAAAGUGGCCCUCUCAGAAAAGGACUUUCUUACUAUUCACUGCAACUAUUCAGCCUCGGGGUACCCAGCACUGUUGUGGUACGUGCAGUAUCCCGGAGAAGGUCCACAGCUCCUUUUCAGAGUCUCGAAGGCCAACGAGAAGGGAAGCAGCAGAGGUUUUGAAGCUACUUAUGAUAGAGAAUCCACUUCCUUCCACCUGCAGAAAGCCUCGGUCCAAGAGUCAGACUCGGCUGUGUACUACUGUGCUCUGAGUGACACAGUGGCAGAAACCACAGGGAGAGCUGAACACAAACUCAGUACCAGGGGCCUGGCUGCUGAGCCUUAG